UACGUAGGCAGCGAGCGUUGUUCGGAGUUACUGGGCGUAAAGGGUGUGUAGGCGGUUGUUUAAGUUUGGUGUGAAAUCUCCCGGCUCAACUGGGAGGGUGCGCCGAAUACUGAAUGACUUGGAGUGCGGGAGAGGUGAGUGGAAUUCCUGGUGUAGCGGUGAAAUGCGUAGAUAUCAGGAGGAACACCGGUGGCGAAGGCGGCUUCCUGGACCGACACUGACGCUGAGGCGCGAAAAGCGUAGGGGAGCAAAACGGGG
rnacentral:rRNA from 1 species